AAUAGCGGAGGAAAAGAAACCAACAGGGAUUGCCCUAGUAACGGCGAGUGAAGCGGCAACAGCUCAAAUUUGAAAGCUAGCCUUCGGGUUCGCAUUGUAAUUUGUAGAGGAUGAUUUGGGGAAGCCGCCUGUCUAAGUUCCUUGGAACAGGACGUCAUAGAGGGUGAGAAUCCCGUAUGUGACAGGAAAUGGCACCCUAUGUAAAUCUCCUUCGACGAGUCGAGUUGUUUGGGAAUGCAGCUCUAAAUGGGAGGUAAAUUUCUUCUAAAGCUAAAUAUUGGCGAGAGACCGAUAGCGCACAAGUAGAGUGAUCGAAAGAUGAAAAGCACUUUGGAAAGAGAGUUAAAAAGCACGUGAAAUUGUUGAAAGGGAAGCGCUUGCAAUCAGACUUGUUUAAACUGUUCGGCCGGUCUUCUGACCGGUUUACUCAGUUUGGACAGGCCAGCAUCAGUUUCGGCGGCCGGAUAAAGGCUCUGGGAAUGUGGCCUCCACUUCGGUGGAGGUGUUAUAGCCCAGGGUGUAAUACGGCCAGCCGGGACUGAGGUCCGCGCUUCGGCUAGGAUGCUGGCGUAAUGGUUGUAAGCGACCCGUCUUGAAC
rnacentral:rRNA from 1 species